UACAGAGGUCUCAAGCGUUGUUCGGAUUCAUUGGGCGUAAAGGGUGCGUAGGCGGCGCGGUAAGUCGGGUGUGAAAUCUCGGGGCUUAACUCCGAAACUGCAUUCGAUACUGCCGUGCUUGAGGACUGGAGAGGAGACUGGAAUUUACGGUGUAGCGGUGAAAUGCGUAGAUAUCGAUAAGGAAGACCAGUGGCGAAGGCGGGUCUCUGGACAGUUCCUGACGCUGAGGCAACGAAGGCCAGGGGAGCAAACGGG
rnacentral:rRNA from 1 species